rnacentral:rRNA from 1 species
CCUACGGGAGGCAGCAGUGGGGAAUAUUGGACAAUGGGCGCAAGCCUGAUCCAGCAAUGCCGCGUGAGUGAUGAAGGCCUUAGGGUUGUAAAGCUCUUUUACCAGGGAUGAUAAUGACAGUACCUGGAGAAUAAGCUCCGGCUAACUCCGUGCCAGCAGCCGCGGUAAUACGGAGGGAGCUAGCGUUGUUCGGAAUUACUGGGCGUAAAGCGUACGUAGGCGGUUAUUCAAGUCAGAGGUGAAAGCCCGGGGCUCAACCCCGGAACUGCCUUUGAAACUAGGUAGCUAGAAUCUUGGAGAGGUCAGUGGAAUUCCGAGUGUAGAGGUGAAAUUCGUAGAUAUUCGGAAGAACACCAGUGGCGAAGGCGACUGACUGGACAAGUAUUGACGCUGAGGUACGAAAGCGUGGGGAGCAAACAGGAUUAGAUACCCUGGUAGUCCACGCCGUAAACGAUGAUAACUAGCUGUCCGGUCACUUGGUGACUGGGUGGCGCAGCUACGCAUUAAGUUAUCCGUCCGUCGGGUAGGUACGGUCGCGAGAAUUAAACUAACAAAGAAAGUUAGACGGCGUGAGACGUGCCGACGGACGACGACGAGGGAGGUAGG